UGCAGCGACGCCGCGUGGGGGAUGACGGCCUUCGGGUUGUAAACCCCUUUCAGCACAGACGAAGCGCAAGUGACGGUAUGUGCAGAAGAAGGACCGGCCAACUACGUGCCAGCAGCCGCGGUAAUACGUAGGGUCCGAGCGUUGUCCGGAAUUACUGGGCGUAAAGAGCUCGUAGGUGGUUUGUCACGUUGUUCGUGAAAACCCACAGCUCAACUGUGGGCGUGCGAGCGAUACGGGCAGACUAGAGUACUGCAGGGGAGACUGGAAUUCCUGGUGUAGCGGUGGAAUGCGCAGAUAUCAGGAGGAACACCGGUGGCGAAGGCGGGUCUCUGGGCAGUAACUGACGCUGAGGAGCGAAAGCGUGGGGAGCGAACAGGAUUAGAUACCCUG
rnacentral:rRNA from 2 species